rnacentral:rRNA from 1 species
CAGCCGCCACGGGAAUACAGAGGGUGCGAGCGUUAAUCGGAUUUACUGGGCGUAAAGCGUGCGUAGGCGGCUUUUUAAGUCGGAUGUGAAAUCCCUGAGCUUAACUUAGGAAUUGCAUUCGAUACUGGGAAGCUAGAGUAUGGGAGAGGAUGGUAGAAUUCCAGGUGUAGCGGUGAAAUGCGUAGAGAUCUGGAGGAAUACCGAUGGCGAAGGCAGCCAUCUGGCCUAAUACUGACGCUGAGGUACGAAAGCAUGGGGAGCAAACAGGAUUAGAUACACCUGUAGUCCCUGUCUCUUAUAC